GGCCCAAAGCAAAAUCCCUAAAACCUAAACUACACUCUUACCUCCUCUCUCCAGCCGCCCCCUCAUCCCCACUUUUGUAUUUUUUUCUUCAACCACGGCUAAACUAAGAAGACCGGGAAUGACAAAGAAGAGCGAGAGAGAACCCAAUCACUUCUCUAUUCUCGUAUAGAAGUGGUAGAUUGGCGGAGUUAAAGCAAUGAGAAGUCAAAGACCAAGAUAAGGUGCAGUUGAAGACCCGAGGAGGAGUGAAAGAAGAAGACAGCGUCUCAAGCAAGAUGGUGUUGCAGAAAAAUUGUGCAUCGUGAUUGCUUUGAAAUUUUCAAUCAUGUGUAACUUGAAACCUAUUGUGGAAUGUAAAUUCUUUUUAUUCGUAGCUAUGUGUAACUUUGAAUUUGUUUUGGAAUCUAAAUGGAAUUUUAGCUAUUAUAAAAUUUAUUGUGACUAGUUAUUCUUGUA